UGGGCCGGGCGCUCCUGGGCCGGGCGCUCCUGGGCGAGGAGCUCACGAAAGACGCUUCCGCGGCACCCUGCAGCCCCAGUCCAGGCGAGGAGGCCGAGAGGAGAGGCAAUUCGCUUCUGAGAACGCUCAUUGAGCGCCGAUGUGAAGGCCACGGCAUUGAACGACUUGGCCCUGCACUAGGUGGAGCUGGGAGAUAGGCUCACUUGCUUGUAAGGAGCUUGAAGGCUGUGUGGGAGACCAAUUCAGAGGAAAGAAACAGUAUGAGAGAUGGGGUCUUGCUGUUGUCUAGGCUG